AUGAAGACUUUGUGUGUUGCUGUUGUUGUGCUGAGUCUCACCUCAGUGUGUCAGUCUGCACCGUUGACCUGUGAGCAGCUGAAUAAGCCACUCGACAAAAGUCCAGACUUGUCUGGAAGAUGGUAUAUGAUAGCGCUGAGCUCAGACGUCUGUCUGAUUCCAAGCCUCCUGAAUGCCUUGUUUUGGCCCAGUCUUGUUAUUGACUUUAAAGAACAGGACACACCAAACCUCUACAAUGCCAACGUUACGUUCAACAUGCAUGACUUUUGUGACUCAAAAGUUGAAACCUUCUUCCUUAAAAGCAGCAGCCUUUUUGAUGUGGACAGCAACAAUUCUCCAACUGGUGAGCCUGAUACGCUGCUGCACACUGGCUGUCCUGACUGCCUCGUUAUCAAGGGGAAUGAUGGCAUCAACUUGCUCAUGUACUUCAGUAGGAGAAAAACUGUCACUGAUGCUGAGCUGAAGGAGUUUGAGACACAGUCAGAAUGUAUGGGCUGGUCCAAACCAGAGGUUCUAAACACAGUCCAUGAAUACAAAGACUGCAAGUCCUUUGAUGACGACAAUGAGCAUGAUGUUUCAACUUUAUUGGCCAAGAUGGGUCAACGAAUGAAAAGCUCAUUUAUGUCUCCUCUUCGAUGUAUUGGACAGUAUAUUUUUAACAUCCCUUCCAUUGGGUGGACAUAGAAAGAGUUGAACAGCCUUCUGUGAAUGAACAAAUAAAAACUACACUAAAUGUGAAACA
rnacentral:lncRNA from 1 species